rnacentral:rRNA from 1 species
GACGAACGCUGGCGGCGUGCCUAAUACAUGCAAGUAGAACGCUGAAGGAGGAGCUUGCUUCUCUGGAUGAGUUGCGAACGGGUGAGUAACGCGUAGGUAACCUGCCUGGUAGCGGGGGAUAACUAUUGGAAACGAUAGCUAAUACCGCAUAAUAGCAGUUGUUGCAUGACAACUGUUUGAAAGGUGCAAUUGCACCACUACCAGAUGGACCUGCGUUGUAUUAGCUAGUUGGUGGGGUAACGGCUCACCAAGGCGACGAUACAUAGCCGACCUGAGAGGGUGAUCGGCCACACCGGGACUGAGACACGGCCCAGACUCCUACGGGAGGCAGCAGUAGGGAAUCUUCGGCAAUGGACGGAAGUCUGACCGAGCAACGCCGCGUGAGUGAAGAAGGUUUUCGGAUCGUAAAGCUCUGUUGUAAGAGAAGAACGAGUGUGAGAGUGGAAAGUUCACACUGUGACGGUAUCUUACCAGAAAGGGACGGCUAACUACGUG